ensembl:lncRNA
AGAUAGCGUUCCAAACAGCAAAGACUCUAGAGAAGAAAAAUAUCAAGUCAUUUAGUCAGCUGGACGGCAGGACCGGGUGUCUUGGAAGUCCUAGCCCUGAGGAAGAUUUGGGGUUAUGCAGCUUUCAAGAGGAAGAUGUUUCAGGAUACUUAUUUCUGAUCUCAUGGCGGGGCAUCACACCAGACCCAUUACAUGCAUGCUGGGAGAACAGAGCAACCUUCAAUCCCUAUACACGGGCUACUUAACCCUCUUAGUCUCCUCUUUCUGGCAGAAGGAGCACAGAGCAGCCAGACGUGAGCUGUGAGAAGAUGAGGCAUCUGCAGAUGAAGUUCUGAUGCACCCACUCAUGGAGGCCAAGCUAUCCCUCCUGCAAGUCCUGCCCCGAUAAGGCUUCUCCCACCGGCUUCCCAUGGGCUUUCUGAGACUGUUUUCCAGAUGGGCUCAGGGGUCCCUCAAAUGAGGCAGCUUGGGGAAAGACUGAAAGAACUCCGCAGGGUCACACAGAGUGCCUAGAGACCAAGGCACCAGCAUAAAGGCUACAUUUGUGAGGAGCAACAGAAAGACAGCCAAGCACUGAGGAGCAGGUGGAAGUCCUGCUGGUCGUCUAACCAAGUGAUGACCCUCGGUGUGUUUAAAGAGGAAAAGAAGAUGCAUAUGAAGCCCCCGAGGAUCCUGGGGAAAAGUUGGAUGCUCUAGGAGUGGCCAGAGAGAAUACAGGAUGCACGUGGAACAUUUUGUACCAGAAAGCAAAAGAGAACCCCAAGAUUGAUAGAGCCAUGGCCAAAAGACCUACAUAGGAGCCAAUUCAAACUGCUCACACUGGCCAAACCUGGUGACCUGCGCAUCAAAAGCUAUGAUACUGACAGGGGAUGGGGAAGGGGCCCAAAGCUUCAUCAUUCAGUAAUAAUGUUCAUGAAAGAACAGAGGGCUAAGGAAAGUGUUUCUUUACAAGAAUUCUAGGUGAUACAUACAGAGUGGUUCUAUAAUAGAAAACCUUAGUUUUCUAACCCACAGUAUUAUCAUUGGCAUAGACAGGAGUCGUUAAUAGACGAUAGAGUCAGUAGGUGAAGAUUAAAAAGAUAUCUAUACAGGGACAGAGUGUUGCCCCACAAACCGCUUAUUAAUUAAAAGUGGAAAGUAUAUCUAGUGAUCCGCUAUCUUAAGUGAUCAAAUUUACCAUCAUCACUAGGGGAGGCAAUGCUUUCUGAUGCUCCCUAGAUUAUAUAUUGUGGACUAUACAAAUAAGACAUGUGAAGUGUUUUCUCCAGAGCCUUCAGCUUGAAUCUUGUCAAGACUUUAGAACUAUAUUCUAGGUUAUCAGGAAUAUAAUUCAAUGACGUUCUAAGGAAAUGAACACACCUAGAAUAUAGACAUUUUACAGGUAAAUUGUAUUGAGUUUUGCAGAAAUAUCAUGGCUGGGGACUAGGGGGUGUGGCUUAGUUGGUAACGUGCCUGGUGUGCAUGGAGUCAGAAGUAGCAAUAUCAUAAUUAGAAAACACAAAAACGGUGAGAACAUUGAGUAUGGUGGCUAUUUCUGGCUGUCAGCUUGAUGACAUCUGGAAUGAACUACAAUCCAGAAGUGAAGGGCACACCUGUGAUCCAGAUCCUGAGGCCAGAAGACACAGGCUUUUGACCUGGAUCUUGAGGCAUAGUGGCUAAAAAAAGCUUAGGCCCAGGCAAGGUGGUGAAUGCUUUAAUCCCAGGAGGUAGAGGCAGGCAGAUCUCUUCAAGGCCAGCCUGGAACAGAGCAAGUUCCAAGUCCAGGCAUAGUGGUGCACACCUCUAAUCUGGGCCACACCUUCUGCUGGAGGCCAACUUAAGGACAAUGGAAGAAGGAAAGGGCACUCUUCUCCUGCUCGCACUUACUUGCCAGCACAUCUGUUGGAGCCUACUUCUUCAGGAUUCCAGCUUAUACAGAAGCCCAGCUGAGACAAUCAGCCUCCUGGGUCUGAGCAAUUACUAGACUUUUGGACUUCCCAUUCACAGCUUCCCAUUGUUGGGCUAGUUGAACUGCAGACUGUGAGCCAUUCCAAUAAUUUCCCUUAAUAUUUAAAGACACUCCAUACGUUCUGUGACUCUAGAGAACCCUGACUAGUACGUUGGCCUAAGAGAAUUAGGAUAAAAAAAGGGCAAAUAUUUAGUCCAGCAUUCAAGAGGCAGAGGUAGAUGAGUUUCUAUGAAUUUGAGGCCAGCUUGUUCUACAGUGUGCGUUCCAGUCUAGCUAAGACUACAUAGUUAGACCCUGUCUGAAACAAACAAACAAACAAACAAACAGGCAAAGUAAGAAAAAAACCAGUCUAAAGAGACACACUUUUGUAAAAUAAAACCCUUGUUGAAUCCUUAGGGGGGAAAAAU